CGGCCCAGAUUCCUACGGGAGGCAGCAGUGGGGAAUAUUGCACAAUGGGCGCAAGCCUGAUGCAGCAACGCCGCGUGAGGGACGACGGCCUUCGGGUUGUAAACCUCUUUUAGCAGGGAAGAAGCGAAAGUGACGGUACCUGCAGAAAAAGCGCCGGCUAACUACGUGCCAGCAGCCGCGGUAAUACGUAGGGCGCAAGCGUUAUCCGGAAUUAUUGGGCGUAAAGAGCUCGUAGGCGGUUUGUCGCGUCUGCUGUGAAAUCCCGAGGCUCAACCUCGGGCCUGCAGUGGGUACGGGCAGACUAGAGUGCGGUAGGGGAGAUUGGAAUUCCUGGUGUAGCGGUGGAAUGCGCAGAUAUCAGGAGGAACACCGAUGGCGAAGGCAGAUCUCUGGGCCGUAACUGACGCUGAGGAGCGAAAGGGUGGGGAGCAAACAGGCUUAGAUACCCUGGUAGUCCACCCCGUAAACGUUGGGAACUAGUUGUGGGGUCCAUUCCACGGAUUCCGUGACGCAGCUAACGCAUUAAGUUCCCCGCCUGGGGAGUACGGCCGCAAGGCUAAAACUCAAAGGAAUUGACGGGGACCCGCACAAGCGGCGGAGCAUGCGGAUUAAUUCGAUGCAACGCGAAGAACCUUACCAAGGCUUGACAUAUACGAGAACGGGCCAGAAAUGGUCAACUCUUUGGACACUCGUAAACAGGUGGUGCAUGGUUGUCGUCAGCUCGUGUCGUGAGAUGUUGGGUUAAGUCCCGCAACGAGCGCAACCCUCGUUCUAUGUUGCCAGCACGUAAUGGUGGGAACUCAUGGGAUACUGCCGGGGUCAACUCGGAGGAAGGUGGGGAUGACGUCAAAUCAUCAUGCCCCUUAUGUCUUGGGCUUCACGCAUGCUACAAUGGCCGGUACAAAGGGCUGCAAUACCGCGAGGUGGAGCGAAUCCCAAAAAGCCGGUCCCAGUUCGGAUUGAGGUCUGCAACUCGACCUCAUGAAGUCGGAGUCGCUAGUAAUCGCAGAUCA
rnacentral:rRNA from 1 species